CUGAUGCAUUGGGGGCCAUAGAGUGAACCAAGAUGCCUAAGAUCAGCACGGAGCAGUCUUAUCCCAGCCACGACCGCUGUUCGGUAAACACCCCCGACAACCUGGACCAGAUUGAGAGUGGCAGCAGCAUGGUGGAGGCCUCACUCUCUUCCUGGUGUCCUCUCUACGCUGCAGCCAUGAGGACCAACUGGACCCCUCCUUCACGGGGACAGGAGGCAUGUCCAGGUCAGUGCAGAUAUCUUUUUUCCAUAUCAUUAUUUACAUUUAUGCUCAUUUUGAGGACUACA
ensembl:lncRNA